CACGUAGGGGGCAAGCGUUGUCCGGAUUUAUUGGGCGUAAAGAGCUCGUAGGUGGCUUAGUAAGUCGGGUGUGAAACCUCCAGGCUCAACCUGGAGACGCCACCCGAUACUGCUAUAGCUUGAGUCCGGUAGGGGAGCGUGGAAUUCCUGGUGUAGCGGUGAAAUGCGCAGAUAUCAGGAGGAACACCAGUGGCGAAGGCGGUGCUCUGGGCCGGAACUGACGCUGAGGAGCGAAAGCGUGGGUAGCAAACAGG
rnacentral:rRNA from 1 species